AAGAAACAUUUUGAACUAUCUGGCUGUGAGGUCAUGCUGGUGACCUCACAAAUGGGAAUUCUGAUGUGUGCCUGCCUCUCUAGCCUUAUCCCUUUAAAGAAAAAAAGAGAAGGUUCUAUAUUACUGAACCUAGAGCUGAUGCCAAAGUAUAUGUGCUUUGUCAAGACAUCCUGCUCCCACCAGACAGGAGCAUCUGCUGCUGCUGAGGCAGAGCAACACAGAAAAUUAGGCUACAGCGAAGAACCUGAAAACUGAGUAGGAAGGUAAUCACAAGCUGAAAAUAACUGCUGCCCUUGCCCUGCCUCCUCUGAUACACUGAGAAGCCACCAGCCCUAAUAUUUACUGUUUACCAAGCCAGUGGAGUAAAGACGAAAAUGUGGAACAAG